rnacentral:rRNA from 1 species
AACGAACGCUGGCGGCAUGCCUAACACAUGCAAGUCGAACGAGACCUUCGGGUCUAGUGGCGCACGGGUGCGUAACGCGUGGGAACCUGCCCUUAGGUUCGGAAUAACUCCCCGAAAGGGGUGCUAAUACCGGAUAAUGUCUUCGGACCAAAGAUUUAUCGCCUUUGGAUGGGCCCGCGUUGGAUUAGCUAGUUGGUAGGGUAAAAGCCUACCAAGGCGACGAUCCAUAGCUGGUCUGAGAGGAUGAUCAGCCACACUGGGACUGAGACACGGCCCAGACUCCUACGCGAGGCAGCAGUGGGGAAUAUUGGACAAUGGGCGAAAGCCUGAUCCAGCAAUGCCGCGUGAGUGAUGAAGGCCUGAGGGUUGUAAAGCUCUUUUACCCGGGAUGAUAAUGACAGUACCGGGAGAAUAAGCUCCGGCUAACUCCGUG